GACGAACGCUGGCGGCGUGCCUAAUACAUGCAAGUCGAACGCUUCUUUCCUCCCGAGUGCUUGCACUCAAUUGGAAAGAGGAGUGGCGGACGGGUGAGUAACACGUGGGUAACCUACCCAUCAGAGGGGGAUAACACUUGGAAACAGGUGCUAAUACCGCAUAACAGUUUAUGCCGCAUGGCAUAAGAGUGAAAGGCGCUUUCGGGUGUCGUUGAUGGAUGGACCCGCGGUGCAUUAGCUAGUUGGUGAGGUAACGGCUCACCAAGGCCACGAUGCAUAGCCGACCUGAGAGGGUGAUCGGCCACACUGGGACUGAGACACGGCCCAGACUCCUACGGGAGGCAGCAGUAGGGAAUCUUCGGCAAUGGACGAAAGUCCGACCGAGCAACGCCGCGUGAGUGAAGAAGGUUUUCGGAUCGUAAAACUCUGUUGUUAGAGAAGAACAAGGACGUUAGUAACUGAACGUCCCCUGACGGUAUCUAACCAGAAAGCCACGGCUAACUACGUG
rnacentral:rRNA from 1 species